UACGUAGGGUGCGAGCGUUGUCCGGAAUUAUUGGGCGUAAAGAGCUCGUAGGCGGUCUGUCGCGUCGGCUGUGAAAACUCGGGGCUCAACCCCGAGCCUGCAGUCGAUACGGGCAGACUAGAGUGCUGUAGGGGAGAACGGAAUUCCUGGUGUAGCGGUGAAAUGACGCAGAUAUCAGGAGGAACACCAGUGGCGAAGGCGGCUUCCUGGUCUGCGACUGACGCUGUGGCGCGAAAGCUAGGGGAGCAAACGGG
rnacentral:rRNA from 1 species